rnacentral:rRNA from 1 species
UAACGCGAAGAACCUUACCAGGUUCUUGACUUCUUCUGCUAACCUAAGAGAUUAGGCGUUCCCUUCGGGGACGGAAUGACAGGUGGUGCAUGGUUGUCGUCAGCUCGUGUCGUGAGAUGUUGGGUUAAGUCCCGCAACGAGCGCAACCCUUAUUGUCAGUUGCCAGCAUUUAGUUGGGCACUCUGGCGAGACUGCCGGUGACAAACCGGAGGAAGGUGGGGAUGACGUCAAAUCAUCAUGCCCCUUAUGACCUGGGCUACACACGUGCUACAAUGGACGGUACAACGAGUCGCGAAACCGCGAGGUCAAGCUAAUCUCUUAAAGCCGUUCUCAGUUCGGAUUGUAGGCUGCAACUCGCCUACAUGAAGUUGGAAUCGCUAGUAAUCGUGGAUCAGC